UACGUAGGUGGCAAGCGUUGUCCGGAAUUAUUGGGCGUAAAGCGCGCGCAGGCGGUCCUUUAAGUCUGAUGUGAAAGCCCACGGCUCAACCGUGGAGGGUCAUUGGAAACUGGGGGACUUGAGUGCAGAAGAGGAAAGCGGAAUUCCACGUGUAGCGGUGAAAUGCGUAGAGAUGUGGAGGAACACCAGUGGCGGAGGCGGCUUUCUGGUCUGUAACUGACGCUGAGGCGCGAAAGCGUGGGGAGCAAACAGG
rnacentral:rRNA from 1 species